rnacentral:rRNA from 1 species
UACGGAGGGUACAAGCGUUGUCCGGAUUUAUUGGGUUUAAAGGGUGCGUAGGCGGCCCGGUAAGUCAGUGGUGAAAGCCUCCAGCUCAACUGGAGAACUGCCAUUGAUACUGCCGGGCUUGAGUACAGACGAGGUUGGCGGAAUUGAUUGUGUAGCGGUGAAAUGCAUAGAUACAAUCAAGAACUCCGAUUGCGUAGGCAGCUAACUAGGCUGUAACUGACGCUGAGGCACGAAAGCGUGGGGAGCGAACAGG